rnacentral:lncRNA from 1 species
UAAUCUGCUUGUUUUCAAAUCCCUAAUCCCCUUUGCUAAACACCGAUUCAUCUUCCUGUUAUGGGACUCUUUGAACCCAAGAGAAUCUUAGCCUGAAAUCCCUCCUCAACUUUGAUUUCAACGAAGAAGGGAGAAGAAAACUAUGGCUCGCCCGCACGGUAAGGCUCCUCUGUCACCGUUCUUUUGUUUAUUUCUUUAUUUUCAAAACAACAAUGGUGAAUGACCCAAACCAGAAACGAAACGAUACAUGGAAAACUAAAAGGAUUCGAGGAAGAAAAGGAAUCACCUCUGCUUUUUCUUUGUGCAUAUAUUUCAUUUCUAAAAAAAAUCCGAUUACAAGGUUAAAAUCUGGCUUUAUAGUCGAAAGAAAGAGGAAAAAUUAACGAAAUAAAAUAAAAAUACAAUGUUUUUCUUUUUGUUUCUAUUUGCUGUUGUUGCUUGUUUGUUUCUUUGCAAGUGCAGGUGUGCUGGCGCUCGGGUACGGGUGGUGCGUGAAGGCCAUACAGAGGUGCGCAGAGGGUCGUACGGAGGCAUGCUGGAGGCUAGGGCUGCGGCGUUCCUUGCUGCUAGGGUUCUGUCUUAGCUAAAGUUUUUUAGUUUUGGACCGUUUGGGCCACGGGUGCUUUGGGAUUAGGAUUGGGUUAUUAGGUUGUAUUUGGUUUAGGUUUUAAAUUUGGGUCAUGUAAUUUGGACUGUGGAAUAUUGUAAUGAUUUGAACUGUAAAUGGACAUUAGAUGGGCUGUUAAUUAUUUUUGUUUUUUCUUGGUUUAUUCUUGUGGUCUGGGCCCAAGCAUAAUUUGGGCCUUACAUAUAUAUAUAUACAUAAUUUAAUUGAAUUACUUAUUUAAAUACCCUUGCAAACAUGUUUAUAUUUUUCCCUUUAAAUCUAUUUAUGUAUACCAUUUGUUUCCCAAUUUUAAAUUAUAC